CCUACGGGUGGCUGCAGUGGGGAAUAUUGCGCAAUGGGCGAUAGCCUGACGCAGCGACGCCGCGUGAGGGAUGAAGGUCUUCUGAUCUUAAACCUCUGUCAACAUGGAAGUACGGUCCCUGUUCUAAUCAGCAUUGAAUUGACCUUACCUGCAAAGGAAGCACCGGCUAACUCCGUGCCAGCAGCAGCGGUAAUACGUAGGGGGCAAGCGUUAUCCGGAUUUACUGGGUGUAAAGGGAGCGUAGACGGUUAAUCAAGUCAGAAGUGAAAACCCAGGGCUCAACCUUUGGAUUGCUUUUGAAACUGAGUAGCUAGAGUGCAGGAGAGGUAAGCGGAAUUCGUAGUGUAGCGGUGAAAUGCGUAGAUAUUAGGAGGAACACCAGUGGCGAAGGCGGCUUACUGGACUGUAACUGACGUUGAGGCUCGAAAGCGUGGGGAGCAAACAGGAUUAGAUACCCUAGUAGUC
rnacentral:rRNA from 1 species